rnacentral:rRNA from 1 species
ACGAACGCUGGCGGCGUGCCUAACACAUGCAAGUCGAGCGGGGACAGCAGACUACGGUCAGCUGUUCUAGCGGCGGACGGGUGAGUAACGCGUGAGGAACCUGGCUCAUACAGGGGGAUAACAUCGAGAAAUCGGUGCUAACACCGCAUAAGACCACAACGCAGCAUUGCGAAGGGGUCAAAGGAGAAAUCCGGUAUGAGAUGGCCUCGCGUCCCAUUAGCUAGUUGGUGGGGUAACGGCCUACCAAGGCGACGAUGGGUAGCCGACCUGAGAGGGUGAUCGGCCACACUGGGACUGAGACACGGCCCAGACUCCUACGGGAGGCAGCAGUGGGGAAUAUUGGACAAUGGGGGAAACCCUGAUCCAGCAACGCCGCGUGAGAGAAGAAGGUUUUCGGAUUGUAAAUCUCUGUUGUCAGGGACGAAGAAGUGACUGUACCUGACUAGAAAGCCCCGGCUAACUACGUGCCAGCAGCCGCGGUAAUACGUAGGGGGCGAGCGUUGUCCGGAAUUACUGGGCGUAAAGGGCGCGUAGGCGGCCAUUUAAGUCAGAUGUGAAAUCCCCGGGCUUAACUCGGGACGUGCAUUUGAAACUGGAAGGCUUGAGUGCAGGAGAGGGAAGUGGAAUUCCUAGUGUAGCGGUGAAAUGCGUAGAUAUUAGGAGGAACACCAGUGGCGAAGGCGACUUUCUGGACUGUAACUGACGCUGAGGCGCGAAAGCGUGGGGAGCAAACAGGAUUAGAUACCCUGGUAGUCCACGCCGUAAACGAUGGAUACUAGGUGUAGGGGGUAUCGACCCCCUCUGUGCCGGAGUAAACACAAUAAGUAUCCCGCCUGGGGAGUACGGCCGCAAGGUUGAAACUCAGAGGAAUUGACGGGGGCCCGCACAAGCAGCGGAGCAUGUGGUUUAAUUCGAAGCAACGCGAAGAACCUUACCAGGACUUGACAUCCUACGAAUCAUGUUGAAAGACGUGAGUGCCCUUCGGGGAGCGUAGAGACAGGUGGUGCAUGGUUGUCGUCAGCUCGUGUCGUGAGAUGUUGGGUUAAGUCCCGCAACGAGCGCAACCCUUAUACUUAGUUACCAGCAUGUAAAGAUGGGGACUCUAGGUAGACUGCCGUGGACAACACGGAGGAAGGCGGGGAUGACGUCAAAUCAUCAUGCCCCUUAUGUUCUGGGCUACACACGUGCUACAAUGGCUGUCAACAAAGGGAAGCGAAGCCGUAAGGUGGAGCAAAUCUCAAAAAAGCAGUCUUAGUUCGGAUUGUGGGCUGCAACCCGCCCACAUGAAGUCGGAGUUGCUAGUAAUCGCGAAUCAGAACGUCGCGGUGAAUGCGUUCCCGGGCCUUGUACACACCGCCCGUCACACCAUGGGAGUUGGGGGCACCCGAAGCCAGUGACCUAACCGCAAGGGAGGAGCUGUCGAAGGUGAAAUCAAUGACUGGGGUG